UAAGGGGUGGGGUUUUUUUUUUUUUUUUUUUUUUAGAGGAAAGAACUAACAAGGUUCCCCUUGUAGCGCGAGCGAAGCGGAAAAGCUCAAAUUUUAAUCUGGCGUCUACGACGUCCGAGUGUAAUCUCGAGAAGUGUUUUCCGUGAUAGACCGCAUACAAGUCUCUUGGAACAGAGCGUCAUAGUGGUGAGAACCCAGUACACGACGCGGAUGCCUAUUACUUUGUGAUACACUUUCGAAGAGUCGAGUUGUUCGGGAAUGCAGCUCAAAUUGGGUGGUAAAUUCCAUCUAAAGCUAAAUAUUGGCGAGAGACCGAUAGCGAACAAGUUCCGUGAGGGAAAGAUGAAAAGCACUUUGGAAAGAGAGUUAACAGUACGUGAAAUUGUUGGAAGGGAAACACAUGCAGCCAGACUUGCUAUUCGGGGCAACUCGAUUGGCAGGCCCGCAUCAGUUUUUCGGGGCGGAAAAUCAUAGAGAGAAGGUAGCAAUUUCGGUUGUGUUAUAGCUCUUUAUUGGAUUCGCCCUGGGGGACUGAGGAACGCAGCGUGCUUUUAGCAUAAGCUUCGGCUUAUCCACGCUUGUAUGCGGGUACAUGCUUUUU
rnacentral:rRNA from 1 species